CCUACGGGCGGCAGCAGUGGGGAAUAUUGGACAAUGGGCGAAAGCCUGAUCCAGCCAUGCCGCGUGUGUGAAGAAGGCCUUCGGGUUGUAAAGCACUUUCAGUGGGGAAGAAAGCCUUGGGGCUAAUACCCUCGAGGAAGGACAUCACCCACAGAAGAAGCACCGGCUAACUCCGUGCCAGCAGCCGCGGUAAUACGGAGGGUGCGAGCGUUAAUCGGAAUUACUGGGCGUAAAGCGCGCGUAGGCGGUCUGAUAAGCCGGUUGUGAAAGCCCCGGGCUCAACCUGGGAACGGCAUCCGGAACUGUCAGGCUAGAGUGCAGGAGAGGAAAGUAGAAUUCCCGGUGUAGCGGUGAAAUGCGUAGAGAUCGGGAGGAAUACCAGUGGCGAAGGCGGCCUUCUGGACUGACACUGACGCUGAGGUGCGAAAGCGUGGGUAGCAAACAGGAUUAGAUACCCCUGUAGUC
rnacentral:rRNA from 1 species